rnacentral:tRNA from 1 species
GCCUGGGUGGCUCAGUCGGUUGAGCAUCUGACUUCCACUCAGGUCGUGAUCUCACCGUUGGUGGGUUCAAGCCCUGUGUCGGGCU